UACACUCCUACGGGAGGCAGCAGUGGGGAAUUUUGGACAAUGGGCGAAAGCCUGAUCCAGCAAUGCCGCGUGUGUGAAGAAGGCCUUCGGGUUGUAAAGCACUUUUGUCCGGAAAGAAAUCCUUGGCUCUAAUACAGUCGGGGGAUGACGGUACCGGAAGAAUAAGCACCGGCUAACUACGUGCCAGCAGCCGCGGUAAUACGUAGGGUGCGAGCGUUAAUCGGAAUUACUGGGCGUAAAGCGUGCGCAGGCGGUUUGCUAAGACCGAUGUGAAAUCCCCGGGCUCAACCUGGGAACUGCAUUGGUGACUGGCAGGCUAGAGUAUGGCAGAGGGGGGUAGAAUUCCACGUGUAGCAGUGAAAUGCGUAGAGAUGUGGAGGAAUACCGAUGGCGAAGGCAGCCCCCUGGGCCAAUACUGACGCUCAUGCACGAAAGCGUGGGGAGCAAACAGGAUUAGAAACCCGGGUAGUCCCA
rnacentral:rRNA from 1 species